ACUGCUCAGUAACACGUGGACAACCUGCCCUUAGGACGGGGAUAAACCCGGGAAACUGGGUAUAAUACCCGAUAGGUCUCGAUUGCUGGAAUGCAUCGAGAUUUAAAGCUCCGGCGCCUAAGGAUGGGUCUGCGGCCUAUCAGGUAGUAGUGGGUGUAGCGUACCUACUAGCCUACGACGGGUACGGGUUGUGAGAGCAAGAGCCCGGAGAUGGAUUCUGAGACACGAAUCCAGGCCCUACGGGGUGCAGCAGGCGCGAAAACUUUACAAUGCUGGCAACAGCGAUAAGGGAACCUCGAGUGCCAGGUUACAAAUCUGGCUGUCGAGAUGCCUAAAAAGCAUUUCAUAGCAAGGGCCGGGCAAGACCGGUGCCAGCCGCCGCGGUAACACCGGCGGCUCGAGUGGUAACCGUUAUUAUUGGGUCUAAAGGGUCUGUAGCCGGCCGGAUAAGUCUCUUGAGAAAUCUGGCAGCUUAACUGUCAGGCUUUCAGGAGAUACUGUCUGGCUCGAGGCCGGGAGAGGUGAGAGGUACUUCAGGGGUAGUGGUGAAAUCUUGUAAUCCUUGAAGGACCACCAGUGGCGAAGGCGUCUCACCAGAACGGACCUGACGGCAAGGGACGAAAGCUAGGGGCACGAACCGGAUUAGAUACCCGGGUAGUCCUAGCCGUAAACGAUACUCGCUAGGUGUCGGCCACGGUGCGACCGUUGUCGGUGCCGUAGGGAAGCCGUGAAGCGAGCCACCUGGGAAGUACGGCCGCAAGGCUGAAACUUAAAGGAAUUGGCGGGGGAGCAC
rnacentral:rRNA from 1 species